UAGCAUCACUAAGGCAUUGGGUUGAUCCUUCAGGCAAUCAAUAUAUUUUACUCCUACUUCUAGUUCUUUUCAAAAUUAAAGAACUAAUUCCAUAAAACAGAUUAUGUAUAUAUUGGAAUUAUCUCCUGCUGACUUUAAUGUAGUCCUUGUAGCCUAGAAUCUGUUUUUGAUGCUGCAGUAUUAGCACCUAUGAUUUUGCCUCUGGAAUUGAUGGAUAAAAGAACUAUUUGAGUUUAAGUAGAAUUUUACUUGGAAAUAAGCAGGAGAGGUUCCCUCACUGGUCAAAGCAUCAUGGAGAACAUGAAGUGCUCUAAUUAGACUAAGUGUUGUCUAUGCAAAAGGAUGUCAAUAAGCAAUCAGUGAAUGCAAUAUUGCAUUUUGGUGACAUCCAUCCGGUUUUAUUUCCCACCAAGUAUCAACACUGAAGCUGACAACUACAGGACUACCAGGACACAUCUUGGCUCCUCAAUCCUUACUAUCUUAGAACCACAAAAAACACACAAAUGCAUCUAAUCUUCGUGUCAUGCCACUAUUAGUCUCUAGCCGAUAGCCCAAUUAGCAGUGAUGCCUAAAGAACUAUUCUAUAUAUUUCAUGGUUGAAGUUGCAUUGCUCUAGGGUAUUGUUCAAUGGGAGGAUUAUCCAAUUAUGAUAUGCCACUACAGAAAGGUAAUGAUUAUAUCUCACAAGUCAUAUUAAUAGUUUAAAAUGAAACCAGAAACAUGAAACUUUAUGGGGAAAGGGAACUGGUUUGUACUCUACUACCACUUAAGAGUAUAGAUUUUACAAAUGCUAACUGAAACCUUGCAAGUACAGAACUACAAAUUUCCCACCUCGAAAGAAAUAUAUCGUAUAUUUUAAGCAUCAUACUAU